AGCCUCAACACUAGAACAGGAGGGUAGGGGAGAACCUGAAACACAGGGUUUAAUUUACAUGAACUAAAGCAUGGCACCAGGACAGAAGCGGCUCCGUGUCCAACCUCUGAGGAGCUCGGCACACUCACAGUUGAAGGUGAUCCAUCAGGAGGGCGGCCAUGGCGCGCGCAGUCCAUUAUCACCAAAUUUGUUGUCCGUGUCAGACAGCAGGUACGAUUCGAUAUCAUGCAAGACAGGACGGUAUUGACUGUUAUACAAGCUGCUUGGCUGGCUGCGCUGCUGGCUUCCGGCUGCUGCUUUUGCCUGUUGGCUGCAGCUACUGCUUUGCAGCUGCC
rnacentral:lncRNA from 1 species